rnacentral:tRNA from 1 species
GGGUGCAUAGCUCAGCUGGUUAGAGCGCCGAUCUUAUAAGUCGGAAGUCCUAGGUUCGAGUCCUAGUGCACCUA